AGUACCAAGAAAAUGCACAUGAACUUUGACAUAAUCUUCUUGAGGGUACUAAAGUUGGAUGAUGUCGUCAUUGUCGUCAUAUACCUAUAUUUAAACAGCAUUUUUACAUUUUUAAGAUUUACUUUUUGAUAUUAUAAAAGCAAGUACACUUGAUGAAGCAUCAUAAAAUUAUUUUAGUCGUCAACAACUUGAUAAUAAUGAUUAUAAAUAAGGAUUCUGUCAAAGAUGACCACUAACCAAAAAAUUUAGUUUAUAACAAACACCCAAAGUUUUAUGUGUGCAAGUAACAUGUUUUGUACUUGGUGGUAACAUAUCAUGUUGUAUUGAAUUUAAACAAACAAUUAAUAUGGGACAAUAUUUAUAGCGUGAAAAUAAUGAAAAAACACUUAAAUUAAAUUAUAAAUUAAUGUCAAUUGUAGCACAUGGGACUAUCUCUUAAUUGUGGUCAUUAUAUUGCUGCUGCACAAGUAAAAGCUAGACAAUAUUAUACAUUUGAUGAUUUAUCAGUACGCUCAAUUAAUUUUUCAAAUAUGAACACAAAUCCAUAUACCUAUUAUAAUAUAUUUGAAAUAGAAAAAUAUUA